rnacentral:rRNA from 1 species
GAUGAGCGCUGGCGGCGUGCCUAAUACAUGCAAGUCGAGCGGUAAGGCCCCUUCGGGGGUACACGAGCGGCGGACGGCUGAGUAACACGUAGGAACGUACCCCAAAGUGAGGGAUAACUGCUCGAAAGAGUAGCUAAUACCGCAUGUGAUCCACGGAUUAAAGCUUUAUGCGCUUUGGGAACGGCCUGCGUCCGAUUAGCUUGUUGGUGAGGUAAUAGCUCACCAAGGCGAUGAUCGGUAGCUGGUCUGAGAGGAUGAUCAGCCAGACUGGGACUGAGACACGGCCCAGACUCCUACGGGAGGCAGCAGUAGGGAAUUUUCCACAAUGGGCGAAAGCCUGAUGGAGCAACGCCGCGUGCAGGAUGAAUGCCUUAGGGUUGUAAACUGCUUUUAAUAGUGACGAUUAUGACGGUAACUAUUGAAUAAGGACCUGCUAACUACGUGCCAGCCGCCGCAGUAA